rnacentral:rRNA from 1 species
AUUGAACGCUGGCGGCAGGCCUAACACAUGCAAGUCGAGCGGAUGAAGGGAGCUUGCUCCUGGAUUCAGCGGCGGACGGGUGAGUAAUGCCUAGGAAUCUGCCUGGUAGUGGGGGAUAACGUCCGGAAACGGGCGCUAAUACCGUAUACGUCCUGAGGGAGAAAGUGGGGGAUCUUCGGACCUCACGCUAUCAGAUGAGCCUAGGUCGGAUUAGCUAGUUGGUGGGGUAAAGGCCUACCAAGGCGACGAUCCGUAACUGGUCUGAGAGGAUGAUCAGUCACACUGGAACUGAGACACGGUCCUGACUCCUACGGGAGGCAGCAGUGGGGAAUAUUGGACAAUGGGCGAAAGCCUGAUCCAGCCAUGCCGCGUGUGUGAAGAAGGUCUUCGGAUUGUAAAGCACUUUAAGUUGGGAGGAAGGGCAGUAAGUUAAUACCUUGCUGUUUUGACGUUACCAACAGAAUAAGCACCGGCUAACUUCGUG